UUCAAUCUAAAUUGUAAACUAUAUGUACAAUGCUAAAAGCAUUAGCAAACAUUAAAUGUUAAUCUCAGGCUAGCCAGUUUUAGCAAUAGCAGUCGAUGUCAGCUCCCUACGAGGUAUUGCUGCGCAGGCUAACAGCAUAGCAACAUGUUUACAAAAUAAAACAGCACUACGCGUACGAAAGCGAAACAAAUACGACAGAAGUGACAUCAACGGUGAAAGUCAUCGAGCCCCACCGUGAUUUCAUGUGUUUUUGUAACAAACUUUCAAAAACACAUCAGUGUGAUACCUCCUCACGUGCUAUACACGCUCUUUGUCUACGUCCUCCGCAUUCAGCAGUGACGUCACACAGACGGCGAGCUAAUAGAAGUGCCAACAAACCGAGACGACACAUGGAAGCGUCGACGUGAUUGGCUCAGAGCGUCGAUCCUGGCGCUGCGCGAGGACAGAGACGGGGACGAGCGUAGUUGCCAUGCAGGUUUUCUUUUGUUUUUGUUUUUCAUGGAGACGUCCGUGAACGCGCGCGCACACACGCACAUACACAGUAAUGAAAGAGCAGGAGUAUCAGUAUAACUAGAACAAAGAGAAAAAAGCAUUUUAAAGAUUUUCAUUCAGCAAAUUCAACUUAAAGCAAAUUCUUAAUCAAGCCCAAAUUAAGCAGACUAUUUAUUUGAACCAAUUUCAUAUUUUAGUAUUAUUUUAUGUCGGACACAAUCCAUGUCAUUAGGAAAAUCCUCAGAGGCAACAUUGUGUCUCCCUGGGCCAAGAAGGAGGACAGGGUCUUCAUUAUUUUUGAAGAUGAUGACCAAGUGGACCAGGUGAUGCACUUCUUGUCUGGAAUGGUUGAAAGUCCACAGACAGAUAAGAAGUGUGCAUAUCCUGUGGCUUUAAUCAUACAGAGCUGUACUCUCCAUCUCCCUGGACAAAGACAAAGACUGAAUUUCUUGAAUUUCCUUCGGGAUCAAUAAAGUAUCUAUCUAUCUAUCUAAGACAUGGACACAUGUGGAACUGAGUUUGACUCCAGCGAGAUAACUCAGCUUCAGAGCCACAGGUCCAAGGAAGCAAGGCUCAAACUGGAAAGCCUUAGAGAGUGAGGACUUUGUUGUUAGGCGCCUGUAAUCCCUGACAACUUUUUGAAAAAUGUAAAUAGUUAAUUGUCUGCUAUGCAUACAAAUAAAAACGAUAUAUCAUUCAUUACUUGUAU